rnacentral:rRNA from 1 species
GAUGAACGCUGGCGGCGUGCCUAAUACAUGCAAGUCGAGCGAACAGACGAGGAGCUUGCUCCUCUGACGUUAGCGGCGGACGGGUGAGUAACACGUGGAUAACCUACCUAUAAGACUGGGAUAACUUCGGGAAACCGGAGCUAAUACCGGAUAAUAUAUUGAACCGCAUGGUUCAAUAGUGAAAGACGGUUUUGCUGUCACUUAUAGAUGGAUCCGCGCCGCAUUAGCUAGUUGGUAAGGUAACGGCUUACCAAGGCAACGAUGCGUAGCCGACCUGAGAGGGUGAGCGGCCACACUGGAACUGAGACACGGUGCAGAGGCCUACGGGAGGCAGCAGUAGGGAAGCUUCAGAAAUGGGCGAAAGACUGACGGAGCAAAGACGAGUGAGUGAUGAAGGUCUGCGGAUCGUAAAACUAUGUGAUUAGGGAAGAAAAGAUGUGGAAGGAACUGUGCACAUCUUGACGGUACAUAAUAAGAAAGCCAGGGCUAGGUAGGUG